rnacentral:misc_RNA from 1 species
GGGGAAGACAAAUGCUGUGGUAUAAAUUUGAUUUGAAGGCCCAUUUUUAGACGAUAAAAUUUUGAUAUCGUCCUUUUCAAACUGCUAAAAGACAAUAGAAUAGAAAAGAAAAAACAGUACAAAGAUUUUGGAAAUAUAUGGAUUUUUUUUAUUUCAGAAAUGCAGUCAGUGAUCAUUUUAUUUAAUUUUUGCUUUUCAUUCCCUUAAGCUUAUUGCAUCAAUUUGAUUCAUGUUCAGGGUAAAAAGGUCAGGGUCCCCACAUUUCUUGUCCCUGCAACC